rnacentral:rRNA from 1 species
GUGCCUCCCUCGCGAACACCCUUGGUUUCCGAACAAGGUCGGGGCGGCUUGGCGCUCUUAUCUCCCGACGACGUAAAACUCGCUAGGGCUGAUAGACGCCGGGCUAAACCAACGGAACAAAAAACCGGCGUGAAAUGCGCCGAGGAACAUGAAAGAGAGUGCGCUCUUCUGGUGUCAGCAGUGCUGCGCCGGGACGGGCGUUGUCUUCUUGAUGAGUUUAUAAUGGCUCUCGGCAACGGAUAUCUCGGCUCUUACAUCGAUGAAGAACGUAGCAAAAUGCGAUACUUGGUGUGAAUUGCAGAAUCCCGUGAACCAUCGAGUCUUUGAACGCAAGUUGCGCCCGAAUCCUUUUGGUCGAGGGCACGUCUGCCUGGGUGUCACGU